rnacentral:lncRNA from 1 species
CCUUUUGCUGCGGUUAUUUCCCUCAUACGAGUGGGAAUCCUCAUGUAAUAAGAGGCUUGGAGCUACCUCUGGUGGGAUAUCUGACUGGGGAAUAAACAAAGUCAAAAUGGCGAAUAAUCAAAGUCCCUCCGCUUUGAAGGCAUACACAUACAAAAGGAGCAAGGCUUGGUUUGCACAGCUAUGACUGCCACAUGGAUUUUAAUGGACGCUACCUCCAUACCUAGUUACUUCUCACAGCUUGUUUUAUAAUUGCAUUGGCAGAUACCAAAUGUUCUGCUUCUUCUAAGAAUCCUGGUUAAAGAGAAGCAAGGAAAGAGAGCAUAUGAAAAUUCAGAACAAGUUUGAGAACAGAAGAAUAUUGGUGAUUGUUAAAGCUGAGAGCUAUUGCAGUGGGGGCCCAUGUGACUAUAUUAAAACCUCAUUAAAGGGUUCUGAACACAAACCUUGGAGUAUAUUGCAAGUGAAAAAUCCUCAUCAAGUAACAUUUUGAGACACAGCGCUUUCUCAGGUCUCCAUGUGAUCUCCUUUCCCAUUCUUCACCUCCCAUCUUCCUUUUACUUUCCGCUGCAAAGUCUCGUGGGUUUGUAGUACUUCACUACAUUCUUCCCUUUCAUAGCUAAGAAACAACUGAUGAUAAAACUUUCUACCUAUGGAUUAUUUAGAAGCUGGAGUAAAAUCAUGCUAUCUCAGAUAAACGGAAAGUCAGCAAAGCAAUGCAAGUGCAUUAUUUUUAAAAAGUAAAAGGGGAAGUAGGAAGUUAAGAACAAAAAGUAAUAAUUAAAAAAAUGUUUCACAUGGACCUUGAAUCAGGGGUAUUGGUUUUCUAAACGCAAGAACUGUACCAACUAUGCUGUUUCCACAAUUCUGUUAAAGGUGAGUCACAACACCCUUCAAAAUAAAUG